rnacentral:rRNA from 1 species
UACGUAGGGGGCUAGCGUUGUCCGGAUUUAUUGGGCGUAAAGAGCGUGUAGGCGGCCAAGUAGGUCCGGUGUGAAAACUCGAGGCUUAACCUCGAGAUGUCAUCGGAAACCAUUUGGCUAGAGUCCGGAAGAGGAAAGUGGAAUUCCUGGUGUAGCGGUGAAAUGCGUAGAUAUCUGGAGGAACACCGGUGGCGAAGGCGGCAUCCUGGACCGACACUGACGCUGAGGAGCGAAAGCCAGGGGAGCAAACGGG